CAGAGUUGUUCAGCCAUAGAAGGUUUUAAAGAUGAUUAAGGCUUUAGUGAGCUGGGCUAGGAGGAGAACUGGAAGGGGGAGGAGAGAGAGCGAGGGAGGUAGUGGGGUAGUUAGGUCUGUAGGUAAGGGAAUAGUUAGUGUGGGAGGGUAGGUAGAUAGGUAGUUAGGCUUGUAUGUGUCUGAGGAGGAAGGUUAGUAUGUAGGUUAGUAUGUAGGUUAGUACGUAGGUUAGUAUGUAGGUUAGUAUGUAGGUUAGUACGUAGGUUAGUACGUAGGUUAGUAUGUAGGUUAGUACGUAGGUUAGUAUGUGGGAAUGUUGAACGGUUGUACAGUAGUAGAGUGUAUUUAUAGAAAUCUCUAAACAGGACCCAGUAAUCCAUAUUUUAUGAAAAACUCAUUGCAAUUAUAUGUUUAUUUCUUUUACAAAAGUUCAGACCGAUGUUUUUCUUCAAAAAGCUGACCAGUGAACAUUUGAUGAGAAACGACAAAAUGAAACAGACCUCACUCACAAUAUUAGAACAACAUCACGUUGCCGUUGCUGAACUGCGUGGACCAUUAAAAGUUGAGGAAAAAAACACAACUUUCCAAACAAGUUAAACAUCAGUAUUGCGGCUUUAAGGAUCGCUACCAUGGGAACCAUGGAUAUGCGAAUGAAGGGGAUAAGAGUAGAUAGGAACAAGAAAAAUAACUGUCUUCUUCGUCAGCACUCAGUAGAUUCCCAGAUAGGGAUGUUCCAUUUCAGCAUUGAGCAGAAAUCAUCUGCAAUUUGAUGUUUC
ensembl:lncRNA